rnacentral:rRNA from 1 species
GACGAACGCUGGCGGCGUGCUUAACACAUGCAAGUCGAACGGAAAGGCCUGCUUUCCCUUGUGGUUUGCGGGUACUCGAGUGGCGAACGGGUGAGUAACACGUGAGUGAUCUGCCCCCAACUUGGGUAUAAGCCUGGGAAACUGGGUCUAAUUCCCGAUAGGACUGCAGGGUGGUGCCUGUGGUGGAAAACGAUUUUCUAGUGGUUGGGGAUGAGCUCGCGGCCUAUCAGCUUGUUGGUGGGGUAAUGGCCUACCAAGGCGGCGACGGGUAGCCGGCCUGAGAGGGUGGACGGCCACAUUGGGACUGAGAUACGGCCCAGACUCCUACGGGAGGCAGCAGUGGGGAAUAUUGCACAGUGGGCGGAAGCCUGAUGCAGCGACGCCGCGUGGGGGAUGACGGCCUUCGGGUUGUAAACUCCUUUCGACCGCGAGGAAGCCACCUGGUUGGAAGGGUGGUGACGGUAGUGGUAGAAGAAGCACCGGCUAACUACGUG